ACUAGGGAGGUGUUCUACGCCUGGGCGCGCAGUCUGCUUCGCCAGCUCGCCAACGGCCUUCGGCGACGCCCGCCUUCAUGCCUCGGCAACGCACCGCCGUUCUACGCGUUUGGGUCUUCGGCAAGAACUCCGUUGUUUUUGUGCGCAUACACUGCGGGUCUUCGCAGAGUGUAGAGGUUCUGGGCACGGCGCAUGAUGGGCGUUAUGACCAGUGCUGCCCAGCCACCAUCUGAUGUUUCACAAGUGCUGACGUCUGCUCCUGCAUAUUUGCCACAAAAGGCUCUGAUUCCCCCCCUCCGCCCACGCGCUGUGAACGACUGCAGCAGCCACAGUAGCCCACAGCAGCAGCAGCUGUGGGAAAGUCGAAGGAAGAGGCAAAGAAAGCUUCGCUUUAAAAAGCUGUCCUGAACAGGUGAACCACACUUUUCCGCUCAUUGAAGAGGGAACCUCCAAUUAAGAUUCCUCACUUCCUCCAGAGGCUUUUGAAUCCCAUACUUCUUCUCAUGCUUACUGAGACACUAUAAGAGAGCCUGUGCUUAGAGAAAAGUGGUGCGUUUGUGGCAUGGUUCCUUCGCAUCAGUAA